GUGCUCACUUUGGCAGCACAUAUACUAAAAUUGGAAUGACACAGAGAAGAUUAGUAUGACCCCUCCACCAGGAUGACAUGCAAAUUUGUGAAGCAGUCUAUAUUUUU